rnacentral:rRNA from 1 species
UACGAAGGGGGCUAGCGUUGCUCGGAAUCACUGGGCGUAAAGGGUGCGUAGGCGGGUCUUUAAGUCCGGGGUGAAAUCCUGGAGCUCAACUCCAGAGCUGCCUUUGAUACUGAAGAUCUUGAGUUCGGGAGAGGUGAGUGGAACUGCGAGUGUAGAGGUGAAAUUCGUAGAUAUUCGCAAGAACACCAGUGGCGAAGGCGGCUCACUGGCCCGAUACUGACGCUGAUGCACGAAAGCGUGGGGAGCAAACAGG